rnacentral:rRNA from 1 species
ACGGGUGAGUAACGCCUAGGAAUCUGCCUGGUAGUGGGGGACAACGUUUCGAAAGGAACGCUAAUACCGCAUACGUCCUACGGGAGAAAGCAGGGGACCUUCGGGCCUUGCGCUAUCAGAUGAGCCUAGGUCGGAUUAGCUAGUUGGUGAGGUAAUGGCUCACCAAGGCGACGAUCCGUAACUGGUCUGAGAGGAUGAUCAGUCACACUGGAACUGAGACACGGUCCAGACUCCUACGGGAGGCAGCAGUGGGGAAUAUUGGACAAUGGGCGAAAGCCUGAUCCAGCCAUGCCGCGUGUGUGAAGAAGGUCUUCGGAUUGUAAAGCACUUUAAGUUGGGAGGAAGGGUUGUAGAUUAAUACUCUGCAAUUUUGACGUUACCGACAGAAUAAGCACCGGCUAACUCUGUGCCAGCAGCCGCGGUAAUACAGAGGGUGCAAGCGUUAAUCGGAAUUACUGGGCGUAAAGCGCGCGUAGGUGGUUUGUUAAGUUGGAUGUGAAAUCCCCGGGCUCAACCUGGGAACUGCAUCCAAAACUGGCAAGCUAGAGUAUGGUAGAGGGUGGUGGAAUUUCCUGUGUAGCGGU